GUUAGACACAGCUGGACUUUUCCUGGAACCAAUUCCUUUAGACAAAUUCUUCACCAGACCAUCAACCCAGGAGGGCAAAUGGGGAGCUUGUGAAGAGUUGGGGCCAAACCACCACAGCUUCCUGUGCCAGUUAACAAAGGAAUCAUGUAAAUCACUCAUGCCCACCAUGAGGACCAGGAGACGCAGAGACAGAUGUAUUUGUCCAGCAUAACUGAGGAACUACUACGGCUCACAAAAUUCAAGAUUCCCCUGGGACUGAAAGAAAACAGUUUGCAGUUCUUCCUCUUCACUCCAAGUCCAAAGUUCACCUCAGCCAAUCAGAGGCAACCGUUUACCUGAUCAUUAUACUGGACACUCAUUAUACAGGAUAAGAGACCUGGACACCAGUGAGCGAUGCAAGGUCAGUGUGUAUCUUGCCGCAGUGCUGUGUAUUAUCAGGAACUGGAAUGCUGGAAAGAUAGCUUUUGAAAGUUCAGACCUGGAGCUCAAUUCACCUUCCAGUUGCUAAAAUGAGGUCCUCAAAAAUCAAGUUCCUGAAUCUUCAGUUCUCAUGAAUGAACAUGUAAGCUGUGG